CUUUGUGGCUGGCAGCUCGGGGUGGGCGGCUCAUUUCCUGGCCGCUCCUGGGCUUCGCGGUCCCAGCUAGUCCACAGGGACCAGCAGUGCCAUGGAAGGAUUUAACAUGUCUCAGAGCAUCCCAAGAGUCAACAGACAUCCACCUCCAGCCCUUAAAGACACAGCUGAAAUCCUGGAAACCGUGCCUUUCCCCUAAAAGUGAUUGUGAGAACAGUGAAACAGCAACAAAAGAGGGCAUCUCAGAAGAAAAAUCACAGGGACUCCCUCAGGAACCUUCAUUUGGAGGAAUUAAGUUGUCCAGACCUCCCAAAUCUUCUUCAGCUAUCUGUUUGGAAGGUGUUUCUCCAGGAAGUUUUCCUGGAGAUAUCAUAGCUGCUGAGGCUACACAUUCCACAAUUUCUUGCUUUGCCAUCAACACUUUGCCAGCCACCAUCUUGCCAUCUAAAAAUGUGAAUAGAAAGUAUUUUUCCUGAAGAACACAUCCUCAAUAAAUCACCUGCACCCAAAUCUCCAUCUCAGGCUCUACUUCUGGCAAGGCAUAUCAUGAGGCUAGUGAAGCACCUACAAGAAACUUGUAACUCAAGAGUCUCACUCUUUCGCCCAGGCCAGACUGCAGUGGCGCUAUCUCGGCUCACUGAAAGCUCCACCUCCCGGGUUCACGCCAUUCUCCUGCCUCAGCCUCCCGAGUAGCUGGGACUACAGGCGGCCGCCAUCGCGCCUGGCUAAUUUUUUGUAUUUUUAGUACAGACAGGGUUUCACCGUGUUAGCCAGGAUGGUCUUGAUCUCCUGACCUCGUGAUCCUCCCGCCUCCGUCUCCCAAAGUGCUGGGAUUACAGGCGUGAGCCACUGUGCAGGGCCUUCUCCUCUUAAUUUUUUAGUGUAAAAUACUAGAGACCAAGCACAGUGGCUCAUGCCUGUAAUCCCAGCAUUUUGGGAGGCCAAAGGCAGGAGGAUCACUUGAGUCCAGGAGUUUGAGACCAGCCUGGGCAACAUAGUGAGAUCCUGUCCCCACACUCGGGGAG
rnacentral:sRNA from 1 species